ACCGUCUUCUUCUGCGAUAAAACCCCGCCACUUUCCCUUCCGACUCGGUCCGAGCUUGGGACACCGAAGGUGAGUUCCUCUUCAUCGAGGCCGCCAUCCACCUUUCCCACUAGCUCAACCCCAAUACCAGACCCAAGCUCCAGACUUGAUGCUCCUUGUCGACCCGUCCAAGCCACCGGACCCAAAAAGCCCUCUCCAGGCACAGCAGGUUCACGAGCCUGCAGGGGCAGUAGCAGCAAACGGCCGCGCGGGGUGGGCUUUUCCGAUUUUGGUGUUUUGGUUCAAUGGCAGAAUCGGGUGGGUUUCGAAUCCUCGAUCGAAUCCCCUUGUUGUGCUGUGUUUUUCUGAUUUUGGUGUUUUGGUUCAAUGGCAAAAUCAGCGUCAGUAUAUUUCCAAUUCCCGAAUUGAUAAAGCUCGUACUCUCCCGCGCUUUUUUCCUCGGGAGAAAUGUCAGCGAGCGAAGAAGCUCAACCAUCAAGCACGAACUCCGAUCCUAAAGGUCAGACGCUGAAGUUCGCCGUGGCCAUCACUCUUCUCCGAUCGAAGCUUCUUCAAAACCAGUCCAAUCCUUCUGAGUCCGACGCUCUCCGAUGGAAGCGAAAGGCUAAGGAGCGAAAGCAAGAGAUACUGAGACUCAGAAGAUCUCAAGGAAGCAGAAGAUGCUACGCAGUAUGAUCUGUUCCCGCAAAGCGCUUCUUGCAAGUGCUAUUUCUUUGAUAAUUUGGGGAAAUUGAGCUCUGCGCGACUUGGAGACGGCUCUGAUCGCAGAUUCAACGACGUUCUUCGCCGGAGAUUUCUCAGACAAGUUUAUAUCAUCGAAAUCAUCAUAACCAUCAUCAUUGUCGCGAUUGAUUAUUCUAUUUAUGUCCGAUUGGUGUUCAGAAAUUUUGAUUAUGCAGUGCGCCUUCAGACUCGAAUAUUGAAGUCGAUACGGAGCAUGCAGCUCAGAGCCUCCGUUGAUUUUCUGGUGGAGCUUUGUGACACUUUUUGUCCGAUUAGGAAACGCUCUCGCCACGUUAGCACUUUGCUUGGGGAGAAAGCGCGGGAAAGACUCAAUUCAACUUGGUCUCGGCGCGUGAUGACCGGCGGAUAGGACUGCGACUGCCGGAUUCAUCUCUUCAGGUUUUCCCUAUUAUAUUUUCCUUUCUUGCGUUGAAUUGAUUGUGUUUGAGGUGAGGAGGGGUGCGUGGGUUUCAUGGUGAGAAAACCUAACCAAAGGGGCAGAGGUCGGGGGAGAGGUAGUUUGGUUGUAACACUUGGUAAGGGUUCUUCUGGGGGUCCUGUGACUAAGGGUGUCCCGGACCAGAAUGUUUUCUCUGAUGAAACGUCUGAUCUUGGGAUUUUGGUUGUUGAUCAAACUGAAGAAGUGAAGAAUUUGGUGGUUGUUGAGGGGAAUGUGGAAGUGAAAUUAAAGUAGUGUGGAUGGGAAUGUUGAGGAAAUUGAAGUGGAUGAUGUGGCUUCUGAAUGCCAUGUAGUCCAUAGUGAUUGUUCUGAGAAAUGCCCUGAGGAUUGUGAUGAAACAGAGGAGAUUGAUCCGAAAUGAACCCUAUCAGAAUUUGGGUUGGAGAGGAUUGUUUCAAUCCAACUCAUCGGUGGGGAAAUUGGAGUAUAUUGCACCAAUUAAAAAUGGUGAUCAGACCCUGGUUUAUCCUUCUGAUGAGGAUAUUGAGGAAGGGGUUGUCAAGUGGAGGUCUAGCCUUGUGGGGUAGUUCCUUGAUAAAUCUCUUCCUUUCUACUUGGUGAAGAAAUCUGUUGCCAUUAUGUGGAAACAGUAUGGAGAGGUGGAGGUCUUCUCACUGGAAAAUGGAAUGUUUCUUUCUAGGUUUACUGAUGAUCAAUUGACUUGUGAUGCGGUUUUGGAGGCCAAGAUUUGGCAUGUUGCUAAUAAGCCAUUGAUAUUGUGGAAGUGGUUGCCUGAAAUGCAGGUUCUGAAAUUGACCUUAACCUCGGUUCCUUUGUGGGUGAAGCUCCUUCACCUUCCAAUGAAAUAUUGGACUCCCAAGUGCCUAAGUCUUGUUGCUUGUGGGGUUGGGAGACCUCUUUAUGGAGAUAAGGUCCCAGAAGAACAUAAGAGGUUAGGCUAUGCCCGGGUUUUAGUUGAGAUUGAUACUAAAUCCAAGUGCCCCAAAGAGAUUAUCAUUUGUAAGAGCAAUGGUGAGACUGUGCCUGUUGAAGUGCAGUAUCCUUGGCUUCCUCCCAAAUGCUCUCUCUGUGGUGGUUUUGGGCAUGUAGCUUAUGCUUGUUCCAAAAAAGAAAAAAAGAUCUGGCUCCCUAAGCAGGCUGGGUAUCAGGCAGUGAAGAAUAUUCAGAUGGCAGCUAAGCAAUCUACUCCCAAACAUUUUGAUCAGACUAUCCGGAAACCUUCUUCUGGGUCUAAGCCUAAGAGAAAGGAAGGUGGACUCCGGCUGUCUAAUUCCUUUGAUGCCAUAGGAAUGGAGAUUGAUGCUGAAGGUGAAGUACAUGAUAAAACACCUUCUACCUUCCUAGAUUUCUUUGAGAAGACUAUCUCUUCUCGGGACAAAGGGAAGGCGAAAAUUGGUGAGCAUGAGGAGGAUGUGGAUUUGGAGACGGGUUUCUCUCCAACCAAGUUAGUAUGAAGAUACUUAUCUGGAAUAUAAGGGGUUUUAACAUACCCUUUAAACAACAGGAGGUAAGGAAGGAAGUCAAGAGAUUGAAUGUAAAUAUUAUCUGCUUAGUUGAGACUCGGGUGAAGAAGGAUAAGGCUCAGAAUAUCAAGAAUGCUGUUCUCACUGGUUGGAACUUGAUUCAUAAUUAUGAUAUGCAUUGGUUGGGCAGGAUUUGGGUCUGUUGGGACCCAGGUAUUACCUCAAUUAAGCAACUGUCUUCUCAUGAGCAAGUGGUUACCUGCCAGGUUGAUAAUGGCACUAAUGGGGGCUCUUGGAUUUUGUCCAUUGUCUAUGGGACUUCAGCCGAUUGAAGGAUCUGAGCACAAACCCUCAACUGGUCCCACGUGUAAGGUUCAUGCUUCGUGAUGUUCUUGAUUUGAGGUCUAACAAUUGGGUUCCUAGACGUGAAGAGGUAAAAGCCAAAACCAUCACUGAGAUACACUCAAGAAGCAGGGAGAAAUCUUGGAUUGCGUCCAGGUGCUACGUACUGCAAGCAUUAGGAAUAGUCGUGGUAUUGACAUGGGUUAACAUGGGUUAACUCUUUUACAAUUUAUUGACAUGACUUAACAUGUAAUUAAAAGGUUUUAAUUA